UACGUAGGUGGCAAGCGUUGUCCGGAAUUAUUGGGCGUAAAGCGCGCGCAGGCGGUCCUUUAGGUCUGAUGUGAAAGCCCACGGCUCAACCGUGGAGGGUCAUUGAAACUGGGGGACUUGAGUGCAGAAGAGGAAAGCGGAAUUCCACGUGUAGCGGUGAAAUGCGUAGAGAUGUGGAGGAACACCAGUGGCGAAGGCGGCUCACUGGACCGGAACUGACGCUGAGGCGCGAAAGCGUGGGGAGCAAACGGG
rnacentral:rRNA from 1 species